GACAGAGGGUGCAAACGUUGUUCGGAAUUACUGGGCGUAAAGCGCGUGUAGGCUGCUCUGCAAGUCGGAUGUGAAAGCCCUGGGCUCAACCUAGGAAGUGCACUCGAAACUGCAGAGCUUGAGUCCUGGAGAGGAAGGCGGAAUUCUCGGUGUAGAGGUGAAAUUCGUAGAUAUCGAGAGGAACACCGGUGGCGAAAGGCGGCCUCUGGACAGUGACUGACGCUGAGACGCGAAAGCGUGGGGAGCAAACAGG
rnacentral:rRNA from 1 species